UCCGUAGGUGAACCUGCGGUUGGAUCAUUACCAAUCCUGGGCUCGCAAGAGUCCUUCAACCCCAUGUGCACUUAAUAUUGUUUCUGGGUGUCGUCUAGGCACCCAAACUUAUAAACCUUACCAUAUGUCUGUUAUUAUUAUAUAAUAAAAACAACUUUUGACAACGGAUCUCUUGGCUCUCGCAACGAUGAAGAACGCAGCGAAAUGCGAUACGUAGUGUGAAUUGCAGAAUUCCGUGAAUCAUCGAAUCUUUGAACGCACCUUGCACUCAAUCUCGGUUGAGUAUGCCUGUCUGAGAAUCUUUAGAUUUCUUCACCCCUUAGGGGUGAGAUAUGAGCUCUUUCACUAGUAGUGAAUGGCUUUAAAUACAGUGCUUUGUUAUUAACGUCAUAUUGUGACUCACCAAAGUGUAUGAAGGGUCCGCCCAACUUCCUUUAGUGUUAGCAGUAGUUAAUUAUUAAUGCCCAACGAAACCUUGGUUUCAAUAAGUUAGUUUACUAGCUUGAACUUUGGUCUCAGAUCAGGUAGGAAGACCCGCUGAACUUAAGCAUAUCAAUAAGGCGGGAGGGGAAGGUCGGACUGGCCAAGGGCACACAGGGGGGGAUA
rnacentral:rRNA from 1 species